rnacentral:Y_RNA from 1 species
AGCUGGUACAAUAUAGUGGAUUAUCAGAACUUUACCAACAUUAGUGUCACGAAAGUUGGUAUACCAUCUCCCACUGCUAAAUGUGACUGGCUUAUU